GCCAGGCGCAGUGGCGCGCGCCUGUGAUCCCAGGGACUCUGGAGGCCGAGGCAGGAGGAUGGCAAGUUCAAGGUCAGCCUCAGCAACUU
rnacentral:sRNA from 1 species